rnacentral:rRNA from 1 species
CCCCACUGCUAUCGGGAUAGGACUAAGACAUGCUAGUCGAGUGACUCAGGCAAAACGGGUCACGGCACACAGCUCAGUAACACGUGGCUAAUCUGCCCUUGGGACAAGAACAACCCCGGGAAACUGGGGCUAACUCUUGAUAGGCGAAGAACACUGGAAUGUGUCUUCACCCAAAAAACUUCACGUUAUCCUCGUGAAGUCGCCCAAGGAUGAGGCCGCGACCGAUCAGGUUGUUGGCGAGGUAAUGGCUCACCAAGCCUUUUACCGGUGCGGGCCGUGGGAGCGGGAGCCCGGAGAUGGGUACUGAGACAAGGACCCAGGCCCUACGGGGCGCAGCAGUCGCGAAAACUUUGCAAUAAGCGAAAGCUUGACAGGGCUAUCCCGAGUGCCAUCCGCUGAGGAAGGCUUUUACCCAGUCUAGAACGCUGGGGGAAUAAGGAGAGGGCAAGUCUGGUGUCAGCCGCCGCGGUAAUACCAGCUCUCCGAGUGGUGUGGAUGUUUAUUGGGCCUAAAGCAUCCGUAGCUGGCUAAGUUAGUCCCUUGUUAAAUCCACCGAAUUAAUCGUUGGAUUGCGGGGGAUACUGCUUGGCUAGGGGACGAGAGAGGCAGACGGUAUUUUCGGGGUAGGGGUGAAAUCCUAUAAUCCCGGGAAGACCACCAGUGGCGAAGGCUGUCUGCUAGAACGCGCCCGACGGUGAGGGAUGAAAGCUGGGGGAGCGAACCGGAUUAGAUACCCGGGCAGUCCCAGCUGUAAACGAUGCAGGCUAGGUGUUUGGACGGCCACGUGCCGUUCUAGUGCCGCAGGGAAGCUGUUAAGCCUGCCGCCUGGGGAGUACGAUCGCAAGAUUGAAACUUAA